UACGUAGGGGGCAAGCGUUGUCCGGAUUUAUUUGGGCGGUAAAGCGCGUGUAGGCGGCCAGGUAGGUCGGUUGUGAAAAUUGGACGGGCUCAACCCUCCCAGACGUCGAAUCGAAACCAUCUGGCUAGAGUCCGGAAGAGGAGAAUGGAAUUCCUGGUGGUAGCGGUGAAAUGCGCAGAUAUCAAGGAAGAACACCGAUGGCGAAGGCGUUCUCUGGGACGGUACUGACGCUGAGACGCGAAAGCGUGGGGAGCGAACAGG
rnacentral:rRNA from 1 species